rnacentral:rRNA from 1 species
CCCUUGGUCAGGUUGAAGUUCAGGUAACACUGAAUGGAGGACCGAACCGACUUACGUUGAAAAGUGAGCGGAUGAACUGAGGGUAGCGGAGAAAUUCCAAUCGAACCUGGAGAUAGCUGGUUCUCUCCGAAAUAGCUUUAGGGCUAGCCUCAAGUGAUGAUUAUUGGAGGUAGAGCACUGUUUGGACGAGGGGCCCCUCUCGGGUUACCGAAUUCAGACAAACUCCGAAUGCCAAUUAAUUUAACUUGGGAGUCAGAACAUGGGUGAUAAGGUCCGUGUUCGAAAGGGAAACAGCCCAGACCACCAGCUAAGGUCCCAAAAUAUAUGUUAAGUGGAAAAGGAUGUGGCGUUGCCCAGACAACUAGGAUGUUGGCUUAGAAGCAGCCAUCAUUUAAAGAGUGCGUAAUAGCUCACUAGUCGAGUGACACUGCGCCGAAAAUGUACCGGGGCUAAACAUAUUACCGAAGCUGUGGAUUGUCCUUUGGACAAUGGUAGGAGAGCGUUCUAAGGGCGUUGAAGCAUGAUCGUAAGGACAUGUGGAGCGCUUAGAAGUGAGAAUGCCGGUGUGAGUUGGCGAAAGACGGGUGAGAAUCCCGUCCACCGAUUGACUAAGGUUUCCAGAGGAAGGCUCGUCCGCUCUGGGUUAGUCGGGUCCUAAGCUGAGGCCGACAGGCGUAGGCGAUGGAUAACAGGUUGAUAUUCCUGUACCACCUAUAAUCGUUUUAAUCGAUGGGGGGACGCAGUAGGAUAGGCGAAGCGUGCGAUUGGAUUGCACGUCUAAGCAGUAAGGCUGAGUAUUAGGCAAAUCCGGUACUCGUUAAGGCUGAGCUGUGAUGGGGAGAAGACAUUGUGUCUUCGAGUCGUUGAUUUCACACUGCCGAGAAAAGCCUCUAGAUAGAAAAUAGGUGCCCGUACCGCAAACCGACACAGGUAGUCAAGAUGAGAAUUCUAAGGUGAGCGAGCGAACUCUCGUUAAGGAACUCGGCAAAAUGACCCCGUAACUUCGGGAGAAGGGGUGCUCUUUAGGGUUAACGCCCAGAAGAGCCGCAGUGAAUAGGCCCAAGCGACUGUUUAUCAAAAACACAGGUCUCUGCUAAACCGUAAGGUGAUGUAUAGGGGCUGACGCCUGCCCGGUGCUGGAAGGUUAAGAGGAGUGGUUAGCUUCUGCGAAGCUACGAAUCGAAGCCCCAGUAAACGGCGGCCGUAACUAUAACGGUCCUAAGGUAGCGAAAUUCCUUGUCGGGUAAGUUCCGACCCGCACGAAAGGCGUAACGAUUUGGGCACUGUCUCAACGAGAGACUCGGUGAAAUCAUAGUACCUGUGAAGAUGCAGGUUACCCGCGACAGGACGGAAAGACCCCGUGGAGCUUUACUGUAGCCUGAUAUUGAAAUUCGGCACAGCUUGUACAGGAUAGGUAGGAGCCUUUGAAACGUGAGCGCUAGCUUACGUGGAGGCGCUGGUGGGAUACUACCCUAGCUGUGUUGGCUUUCUAACCCGCACCACUUAUCGUGGUGGGAGACAGUGUCAGGCGGGCAGUUUGACUGGGGCGGUCGCCUCCUAAAAGGUAACGGAGGCGCUCAAAGGUUCCCUCAGAAUGGUUGGAAAUCAUUCAUAGAGUGUAAAGGCAUAAGGGAGCUUGACUGCGAGACCUACAAGUCGAGCAGGGUCGAAAGACGGACUUAGUGAUCCGGUGGUUCCGCAUGGAAGGGCCAUCGCUCAACGGAUAAAAGCUACCCCGGGGAUAACAGGCUUAUCUCCCCCAAGAGUUCACAUCGACGGGGAGGUUUGGCACCUCGAUGUCGGCUCAUCGCAUCCUGGGGCUGUAGUCGGUCCCAAGGGUUGGGCUGUUCGCCCAUUAAAGCGGUACGCGAGCUGGGUUCAGAACGUCGUGAGACAGUUCGGUCCC